UACGUAAGGGGCAAGCGUUGUCCGGAAUCACUGGGCGUAAAGCGCACGUAGGCGGUUUGCCAAGUUGGGGGUGUAAGCUCUAGGCUCAACCUAGAAAUUGCCUCCAAAACUAGCAUACUUGAGUAUUAGAGGGGAAGCUGGAAUUCACGGUGUAGCGGUGAAAUGCGUAGAUAUCGUGGAGAACACCCGUGGCGAAGGCGGGCUUCUGGCUAAUUACUGACGCUGAGGUGCGAAAGCUAGGGGAGCGAACGGG
rnacentral:rRNA from 1 species